rnacentral:tRNA from 1 species
GAGGAUUAUAGCAUAUAUAAAUAGCCGCUAACUAAUUUAUAAGGCAGUUAAAUUCUGUCUAAUCCUCU